AGAUGACUUACUCUAUAUUCUUU
rnacentral:miRNA from 1 species